GGCCUGUCUCAGGGGAUUAUGCAUAAUUGAGCAUUGGGCUAGUAUUCCAAAGGUCGUAGGUUCGAUUCCCACCGUGGCCA